rnacentral:rRNA from 1 species
UACGUAGGGUCCGAGCGUUGUCCGGAAUUAUUGGGCGUAAAGGGCUCGUAGGCGGUCCGUCGCGUCGGGAGUGAAAACUCGGAGCUUAACUCCGAGCCUGCUUCCGAUACGGGCAGACUAGAGGUAGGCAGGGGAGAGCGGAACUCCUGGUGUAGCGGUGGAAUGCGCAGAUAUCAGGAGGAACACCGGUGGCGAAGGCGGAUCUCUGGGCCUUGCCUGACGCUGAGGCGCGAAAGCUAGGGGAGCGAACAGG